rnacentral:rRNA from 1 species
CUGCGAAAGCCGGAUUAAUACCGCAUACGCUCUAUGGAGGAAAGCGGGGGAUCCGCAAGGGCCUCGCGCUCAAGGGGCGGCCGAUGGCGGAUUAGCUAGUUGGUGGGGUAAAGGCCUACCAAGGCGACGAUCCGUAGCUGGUCUGAGAGGACGACCAGCCACACUGGGACUGAGACACGGCCCAGACUCCUACGGGAGGCAGCAGUGGGGAAUUUUGGACAAUGGGCGAAAGCCUGAUCCAGCAAUGCCGCGUGUGUGAAGAAGGCCUUCGGGUUGUAAAGCACUUUUGUCCGGAAAGAAAUCCUUGGUUCUAAUAUAGCCGGGGGAUGACGGUACCGGAAGAAUAAGCACCGGCUAACUACGUGCCAGCAGCCGCGGUAAUACGUAGGGUGCGAGCGUUAAUCGGAAUUACUGGGCGUAAAGCGUGCGCAGGCGGUUUGCUAAGACCGAUGUGAAAUCCCCGGGCUCAGCCUGGGAACUGCAUUGGUGACUGGCGAGCUAGAGUAUGGCA